rnacentral:lncRNA from 1 species
CAAAGUUGAAUUCCCAGACCGAUCUACAACCACACCGAUAUUUACUUUCUAUUCCGUUAUCAUACUCAUCUGGAAAUCCCUUUACAGAUGCAUAAUUUUACUGUAACUAGCUAGCUAAAUAAUCGGGAAAGAUUAUCCUAACAAAUUGAUAAACCACUCAGAAGCCCAUUGAGCCCUGCUGGAGCAUCACUCCGGGGACCCUGGGAAUCUGUGGAGCUGCCAGUUGAUCCGCUGCGUUUAAGGAUAGUGGGAGGACCAGACAGACGGAGCUGGAUCAGGAGAUUUAGUCGCUCAGACAGUCUGACAGUUUUCUGCUGUGUGAUUUAGUUAAAGGGACCAACCAGCACCCCAGGAUAUGCCCCUGUUGGGUCACUAAGCCGGACUGAUGUGGUGUGCGAGCCAUGGUGACUCUGUCCCACAAGAAGUCUUUCAGUGAGGAAGACUGCGAAAAGGACAGACAAUAGACCAGAGGAACGACGUGAAGAGAGCAGGACGAACAGCAGCAGACGAGCCAGUAAGAUAGUUAAAGGCCUUGGGUGGGAGGGAGAAGAGGAGACUGGGGGGUAAAAGGUGGAAUAGAAGAUUCCUAUUUUCUCUGGUUUAGGACAUUUGAGCGCAAAACAAGGACAUUGAACAUUACCCCCCUAACCCCCCCCCCCCCCCCCCCCCCCCGUCUCACCUCUUUUCCUACGCUGU